rnacentral:rRNA from 1 species
UGAGUAACCUGCCCUUAACUCUGGGAUAAGCCUGGGAAACUGGGUCUAAUACCGGAUAUGAUUUCUCAUCGCAUGGGUGGGGGGUGGAAAGCUCUUUGUGGUUUUGGAUGGACUCGCGGCCUAUCAGCUUGUUGGUGAGGUAAUGGCUCACCAAGGCGACGACGGGUAGCCGGCCUGAGAGGGUGACCUGCCACACUGGGACUGAGACACCGGCCCAGACCUCCGUACGGGGAGGCAG